ensembl:snRNA U6atac minor spliceosomal RNA
AAGGUUAGCACUCCCCUUGAUAAGGAUGGAAGAGGUCCUAGUGGCCUUUACAACACACCUAUGAUUAAGGCAUUGCCACUUGCUACUUCAGGGCAUCUAACCAAGCCCCAGA